GUUUAAAUCAGUCAGUUUAAAUCUGACUGUGAAAUAGGAAAAACAGUUUCGGUGAACUUAUUGCCACCAACUAACAAAUGUCAGCCGGGCCAUCAAAAAUCCAGAGAACAGAAACAUAUUCAAGCCUUAUAAGUCUAAAGAUGGUGAUUAUACAAUCACAAAAAGAGCUGUGGUGAAGUUCAAACAAAGUGUACCCUUGCUAAGAAUUCUUGGUUGGGAAAGUUGAAUU